CUUGUUUCCUCUCCACCAGGGGGCGCCAUGCUCCAGUAGGCGGCGCUCUCCUGGUGCUCUGUGUUCCAGCAUUGUGUCAAUAAGAAGUGGUGCUGUGAAGAGAACAACAGUCAGACUGAAUGUUGAACAUCAGCUGCUUUCUCCUGCUGAUUUAAACCUUGUUGGACAGAUGGAACAUUGGCUGUGGAUUAUUCUGGCUGCUCUUUUCUCUGAGUGUAAAGGAGAUUCAGUGAAGCAGACAGAAGGAGAACUUGUUGCUGCUGCAGGACAAUCACUGACUCUGGGAUGCACUUAUGAAACCAUCUCUGUGACGCCUACAUUGUUCUGGUACAAGCUGGAGGAAAACAGUUUUCCACAGUACAUGCUGAAGCAACAAACAUCAACAACUUAUAAAGCUCCAGAGUUCAACAGCAGCAGAUUUGAUGCUGACCUCAAUAAAACCAACAAAUCCUUCAACCUGACGAUCCAGGAUCUCCGUCCGUCAGAUUCUGCUGUGUACUACUGCGCUCUGCAGCCCACAAUGACAGGAAACACCAGAACCCUGUACUAA